rnacentral:tRNA from 1 species
GGGCCGGUAGAUCAGCCUGGUACACAGCGCGUUAGGGCUGGCCACCCUGCUCCGUAGGGCCGCGGGUUCAAAUCCCGCCCGGUCCA